UACGUAGGGGGCUAGCGUUAUCCGGAAUUACUGGGCGUAAAGGGUGCGUAGGUGGUUUCUUAAGUCAGAGGUGAAAGGCUACGGCUCAACCGUAGUAAGCCUUUGAAACUGGGAAACUUGAGUGCAGGAGAGGAGAGUGGAAUUCCUAGUGUAGCGGUGAAAUGCGUAGAUAUUAGGAAGAACACCAGUGGCGAAGGCGGCUUUCUGGACUGAAACUGACGCUGAGGCACGAAAGCGUGGGGAGCGAACAGG
rnacentral:rRNA from 1 species